rnacentral:rRNA from 1 species
CCUACGGGUGGCUGCAGUGGGGAAUAUUGGGCAAUGGCCGCAAGCCUGACCCAGCAAUGCCGCGUGAAGGUAGAAGGCUUUUGGGUUGUAAACUUCUUUUGUCCGGGAACAGUAGUAGUCGGUUCCUGCCAGAUAAGCCACGGCUACCUAGUUGCCAGCUCUCGCGGUAAUACGUAGGUGGCGAGCGUUGUAGGGAUUCACGGGGUGUCAGGGGCGUGUUGCUGGGUUGAGAAGUUAGUUGUGAAGUCCUGCGGCUUAACGGGAGAACUGCAUUUGAUACUGUUUAUCUGGAGUACUGUGGAGGCAGACGGAAUUCGUAGUGUAGCGGUGAAAUGCGUAGAUAUUAGGAGGAACACCAGUUGCGAAGGCAGUCUACGAAACAGCAACUGACGGUGAGGCGCGAAAGCGUGGGGAGCAAACAGGAUUAGAUACCCGGGUAGUC